rnacentral:sRNA from 1 species
GUAGAUCGCUUUGAUCCUGGUCGAGAAGUACCUGAAUGCCUAGAAAUAACCCCUACUGCUUCUCUUCCUGGGGACUUUUUGAUUCCAUGCAAAGUUCAUACUCAAGAACUUUGUUCAAGAGAAAUGAUAGUUCACAGUGUAGAUGACUUCAGCUCAGCUUUAAAGGCUCUACAGUGCCAUAUAUGUAGCAAAGAUUCCUUGGACUGUGGUAAGCUGCUUUCCCUAAGAGUUCAUAUCACUUCCAGGGAGAGUUUGGACAGUGUGGAAUUUGACUUGCAUUGGGCAGCAGUAACUCUAGCAAAUAACUUUAAAUGCACACCUGUGAAGCCCAUCCCCAUUAUUCCAACAGCUCUGGCAAGAAACUUGAGCAGUAAUCUGAAUAUUUCUCAAGUUCAAGGGACUUAUAAAUAUGGGUAAGUAAAAGAUACAUUAAUCUAAACAUUAGUUGCAUUAGUAUAUUUUCAGAAUGUCCAUGUAAUGUGAAAGAAUUGUCCAGUCAGUUUAUAUGCCAGAGAUAUGGUGGCUUGGUUAAUAACCAGGG